GUGGUCUGAGAGGACACAAGGAUAGAGAAAUAAAUACAAGACAAAAGUUCACACUCACGGUGACAAUGUGCAGGGGUACCACUGUGCUUCCCCUGUUUUCUUUAGAGCCAAGUUUAAAUUUAGGAGGAGAGGAAGGAGGAGAGAAGGGAGAGGGCAGGAGAGCAUGCCAAUGCAGCAUAGUCUUAAAAUUCUGUUAAACUGAUCACAGGGCCGUCCCCGUCUGUGUGGGUGAAAGAGGAAAGCUAAGGGCCUUCUAAGUAGAAAACAAUGCUAUUUUCAACAGAAUGUUCUUUUAAUUUAGAAAAUUUGAUUAAAAUUAUAUUUUCUUUGAAGCUGAUUAAACCUCAGUGGGAGCUUUAAAAUACCCAAUGCUGGGCUAAAUAUCACGUAAAUUCCUUCUCCCGCUCCUUCUCCCCGCUCCCCCUCUCCCAGUACCAGCUGCUCUUCUACUCAGUUCAGUUCAAGAAGCCUGUUGUGUGAAGAUGCCCCUGUUCACAUGUACAUAGACAUGAGUCUAGGUGAGUGCAAUUCUGGAUACACGCAUAUAAAAUAUCUAAAUGAACACAUACUUGGACCUCAGCUGGGCUGCUGUGAGUGUAAAAUGCUCACCUCCUUCUGGUCACCACUUCCCCUUGCUCUUCAUUAGUGACCUAUGACUCUCCCAGUCUAUUCCUGGGAGCAAAUGCAGCAGCCCACCGAUCACAUGCAGUCAGCAAGGUGACAGAAUCAUUGUGGACUUGUGGACUUGAAUCCCUCCGGAGCCUUGUAGUUGUGAGAUCUCAACAAAGCAACAAAAGGCAAUGGGCGUGUACGUGGGUGGGCAGGUCAUCCUUUUGAAUUGCAUGUAUUUAUGUGUGUGUUUGUGUGUUUGUGUUGAAAUCCUGCCUUCCAAUUUCAAAAGUCUGGGUAAUAAGCAGAAUGCUAACAUUUCAAUCACCCAUUUUGUGACCUAGAACUUUAGAGUGUCCUUGUUGCCAUAACAACACACCCCAUACCCAAGAUGGAGUGAUUUGUAAGUAACCGAAGUUUAUUUGCUCGGGGAUCAGAAGUCUGAGAAGUUGAAAGUACUGGAAGGUCUGCUGCCUGUUUCCCCCCAGGAUGUCUCCUAACCACUGUGCCCUUGUUUUCCAGUAUGGAGAAAGGCUGUGCCCUCACGUGACAGAGGGCGAAAGGGUAGAGAGUAAGAGUGGGAAGGGGGUGGGAUGGGGAAGUGAGGUGUUGGUAGAGGUGCAACCAAAGUGAAGAUAAGCUAUGUGGAAACCUUCCAACCCAAGAACGAUUUCCAUUAUAAUGUAUAAUAGAAGACAAGUGUCGUGAAAGGUGAGUGAUGGAAUUCUUGAGGUUAACGAUUAACUGGAGAUAGGGGUUUGGGAGAAGGGGGUGCUAGUGGGCAGGUUAACUAAAACUAAAGAUGCAUAAAGAAGCCUAAGAGGUGUCCACCAGCUAGUAAGCUAAUCAAAAUACAUAGAAUAUAUAAAAAUAUAAAUAAAUUUGAACCGUGUAUAGGUAGACAAUGCCCAUCCCAAAAUGCUGGCACCCAAAACAAUACAAGUAAUUGUCAUGACUUUUGGUUGCCCACCACAACUAGAUGGCUAGACUCUAUUACUACAGACAGCCUCACUUUGGAUGCAGGGCAUAGAGGAAUCAACUUCCAACUUUCCAGGAAAUCCCCUCCGUGCUGCCUGGCUAAUAUGGCCCCAGAAGGUGCUGUAAAGGAUAUGGCAGGUAGAAAAGGCAAUGGUAGUCUUACCAAGUGCUUUAAUACUCACCUACAGACUAGAUGUGCCUAUAGAUGCAAUAGAGGGAGAACUGUUAUAACUAACGGAUCUUUUAUAGUAUUUGGGACCUGCUCUACACGAGGUAUUUUAUGCUCAGUACUGUAACCUGUUUAAAAGCCAUGACUGGGAAGUUUAUAGGCCCUGGGGUGGGGUGAGGACCUACUUACUACUGGUGUUUGCUAAGUGGCCAUUCUGUCAAACGGCACUGCUGCCAUGAAUCACUGCAGCUGUGGUCACCUACACAAGACCUGUGCAAGACAAAGCCAUUCAAGCUCCCAGCAUGGAUGGGAUCUUGUGACAGCUGGAGGAGCUAGUGGCAGUUGAUGGCUGUAAAGGGAAGAGAGUCACUAGCCUUUGGGGACUUGGACUCAGGUAUGUUGUUCAAGCCUGAAUGGAAAGCUACACACUCAUGGACAUGUGGGCAGCACUUAGUGGACUCAGGAGGUUGUUAUAAUAACAGACAAAGAAAAGGUGAAGUUAGGCGGGAUAUGGGGAGGGGGGACUAGGAGGAGUUGGAGGAAGGUAGUGGUAGAUGGAUACAAUCAAUUUAUAUUAUAAAUGUGAAUAACAUUUUCAAAGAAUAAAAAUAGUAUUAAAAAGAAAAACUAUGUGAGGGCUGGACUCUCCUUUUACAGAGGCUUUGGCCCUACCCGUGGAGGCUGUCAACUCUUUCUGUCACAGUCAUGUGGCAGUGUCCAAAGUACACUUCACUCUUUCCCUAAAGCCUUGUGUUGAGGUUCCCAGUGAUAAGCUAGUUAAUGUUGAGGUGUUUGGGAAUCUUACAUUGGCCUUCAGAAUGAAGUUGGGCAACAUGAGGUAUCACAAAGCUCUCACUAAAGUGGGUUCAUUCAGUCUCAAAGAAUCCAUCAGGAGUAUUCUCAUUAAUUUGUGAAGAAGUACUAUUUAUUUAUCUAUCUAUCUAUCUAUCUAUCUAUCUAUCUAUCUAUCUAUCUAUCUAUCUAUCUAUCUAUUUAUUUAUUUAUUUAUUUAUUUAUUUAUUUAUCUAUCUAGAGACAGUCUAGCUCAGCUGGCCUGUAACUCCCAGGGUAGCUGAAGAUGACUUUGAACUCCAGAUCUUCCUGUUUGUAUCUCUUGAGAGAUGGGAUUACAGCUUGUGUGGAUGGGGACAACACUAUGGUCAUCUGUCUACUACUUAAUAUUCAGGCCAAGUCUCCUGACUGGUAAUGCUUGACUUGAUGAUUGUGAUGUACAUUCACGUGUUGCAUGUCUGCAUUGCUAUCCACUAGGAAAAUUUCAUUUGAAUGACAACUAGCCACUGUAGACUGAGAAGGACGAAUAAAGUUAAAAUUGUAGGUAA